rnacentral:rRNA from 1 species
GACGAACGCUGGCGGCGUGCUAAACACAUGCCAGUCGAACGGAAAGGCCCUGCUUUUGUGGGGUGCUCGAGUGGCGAACGGGUGAGUAACACGUGAGUAACCUGCCCUUGACUUUGGGAUAACUUCAGGAAACUGGGGCUAAUACCGGAUAGGAGCUCCUGCUGCAUGGUGGGGGUUGGAAAGUUUCGGCGGUUGGGGAUGGACUCGCGGCUUAUCAGCUUGUUGGUGGGUAGUGGCUUACCAAGGCUUUGACGGGUAGCCGGCCUGAGAGGGUGACCGGCCACAUUGGGACUGAGAUACGGCCCAGACUCCUACGGGAGGCAGCAGUGGGGAAUAUUGCACAAUGGGCGGAAGCCUGAUGCAGCAACGCCGCGUGCGGGAUGACGGCCUUCGGGUUGUAAACCGCUUUCGCCUGUGACGAAGCGUGAGUGACGGUAAUGGGUAAAGAAGCACCGGCUAACUACGUG